rnacentral:tRNA from 1 species
GAAGAUGUGGCUCAGUGGUAGAGUGCUUGCCUUGUAUAUAGAAGGCCCUGGGAUCUAGCCCCAGCACCACCA